UACGAAGGGAGCUAGCGUUGUUCGGAAUUACUGGGCGUAAAGGGCGCGUAGGCGGGUUUCCAAGUCGGGGGUGAAAUUCCAGGGCUCAACCCUGGGACGGCCUUCGAUACUGGGAGCCUGGAGAUCGGGAGAGGUGAGUGGAAUUCCGAGUGUAGAGGUGAAAUUCGUAGAUAUUCGGAGGAACACCAGAAGCGAAGGCGGCUCACUGGCCCGAGACUGACGCUGAGGCGCGAAAGCGUGGGAGCAAACAGG
rnacentral:rRNA from 1 species